ACGUUUUAAUAAAAUUUUGAAAAAUAAACAUUUGCUAAUUUUUGGUAUCGCACUGCCAAAUCUGUAUCCGUAUCUGAUGAUGACGCGAAGGUGACAAUGAUUGUGCCGUUCUUGUGCGCUUGACGGCGACUGUGGGUUUUUUAACUUCUACCUUGACUUCGUACUCCGCUUUCCGGACUUCCAACGAAUUUCUCGAGAUGAUAUAUGAUAUCGUAUAGUUUUCAUUGCGAGCUCGCUUUCCUGUAGCCCAAUUGUGUCUGUCCAUCAAAGUGAUGCUGGGUCGUCUCCCCUGUGCGCAAGUUCCGCAUGCAAAGAUCUUAGCGGCCAUAAUUCGAGCUGUCUGGCUUGUCGGAUGAGUCACGAAUCUCGGAUCAUCAUCCACAUGCCUGAAAAAAACCAGUCUCCUUUUCUUUCCUUUAGGAUGUGCUGAUUAAAAUUUACACACAAGGUCAUUGCGGCUGUACGCCUUAAACUCUUUUAGACAUGAUAAUUAAUGAAUGGCAUAAAUAUUGCCCAUCGAAAAAAGAGAAAGAGGAGAAGUUCGCGCGAUCCUCAAGGCCCAUUUGGCUAAUCAACAACUGGUUGCUUCAGUUGCACGGAAAAAAAGAUAUUGGUUUUAUAUUGUAGGUAUUGG
ensembl:ncRNA lncRNA:CR44157 long non-coding RNA:CR44157